rnacentral:lncRNA from 1 species
AUGGUUUACUAUUCACUUGACCCAGAACAACCCAAAAAAUCAUUCAAAUCAAGAGAUUGAAAUCUUCGUGUUCACUUUAAGAACAUCCAUGAAGCUACCCAGGCAAUCAAGGGUUAUGUAUAUCUGAAAAGCCACCAAGUAUCUGAAAGAUGUGACUUUACAGAAGCAGUGUGUGCCGUUCCAUCAUUGCAAUGGUGGAGCUGGUAGAUGUGUCCAAAGCCAAACCGUGGAGCUGGACAGAGGGUUUAUGGCCCCAAAAGAGUGCUGAAAGUUUGUUGCACAUGCAUACAAAUGUAAAAAGCAGUGCUGAUCUUAAAGGUUUGUAUGUAGAGUCUCUUGAUCAUUGUGUACAUCUAGGUGGGCGAAGCACCCAAGAUACACUGGCUCUGUUUACAGGGCUCAUGGUCAGAUUAACCCAUACGUGACCUCCACCCCCACUAUCGCACCCACCGCACUGAAAUGAUGCUUACUGAAAUAGAACAAAUUUUUCUAAGCCAGAGGAGGAGGUUGCAUAGAAGAAAAAGGUAUUCCAGAAGAAACCGAAGAAACAAAAAUAAUGACCCAGGAAUAA